GACGAACGCUGGCGGCGUGCUUAACACAUGCAAGUCGAACGCGCCUGUCCUCGGGGUUUCUGGGGGGGGGGUGGGUGGCGGACGGGUGAGUAACACGUGAGUAACCUGCCACCUUCUUCGGAAUAACGGUAUGAAAGGGCUGCUAAUACCGGGUAUUCACUGGUCUCCGCAUGGGGUCUGGAGGAAAGGUUUUUUUCUGGUGAGGGAUGGGGUCGCGGCCUAUCAGCUUGUUGGUGGGGUAAUGGCCCACCAAGGCUUUGACGGGUAGCCGGCCUGAGAGGGCGCCCGGGAACAUUGGGACGGAGAUGAGGCCUAGACUCGGACGGGGGGCAGCAGUGGGGAAUAUUGGAGAAUGGGUGAAAGCCUGACGCCGCGUCGGCGCGUGAGGGAUGGAGGCCGUCGGGCUGUGAUACUCGUGCGCAAGUGGUCUAGCCGCGACGUGGGUCGUGGUGAGGGUAGUGGGUAAAGAAGCGCCGGCUAACUACGUG
rnacentral:rRNA from 1 species